rnacentral:rRNA from 1 species
GACGAACGCUGGCGGCGUGCUUAACACAUGCAGGUCGAGCGGUAAGGCCCUUUCGGGGGUACACGAGCGGCGAACGGGUGAGUAACACGUGGGUGACCUGCCCUCAGCUCUGGGAUAAGCCUGGGAAACUGGGUCUAAUACUGGAUAUGACUCCACGGUGCAUGUCGUGGGGUGGAAAGCCUUGUGCGGCUGAGGAUGGGCCCGCGGCCUAUCAGCUUGUUGGUGGGGUGANGGCCUACCAAGGCGACGACGGGUAGCCGGCCUGAGAGGGCGACCGGCCACACUGGGACUGAGACACGGCCCAGACUCCUACGGGAGGCAGCAGUGGGGAAUCUUGCGCAAUGGGCGAAAGCCUGACGCAGCGACGCCGCGUGAGGGAUGACGGCCUCGGUUGUAAC